CUCCGCGCCUGGUGCGCGGAGCCUUUUUCCGAAUGCAACAAGGGGUCUGCCCGUG
rnacentral:ncRNA from 2 species